GACGAACGCUGGCGGCGUGCUUAACACAUGCAAGUCGAGCGGAAAGGCCACUUCGGUGGUACUCGAGCGGCGAACGGGUGAGUAACACGUGAGUAAUCUGCCCCUGGCUUUGGGAUAGCCACCGGAAACGGUGAUUAAUACCGGAUAUGACCACUUCACGCAUGUGUUGUGGUGGAAAGUUUUUCGGCCAGGGAUGUGCUCGCGGCCUAUCAGCUUGAUGGUGAGGUAAUGGCUCACCAUGGCUUCGACGGGUAGCCGGCCUGAGAGGGUGACCGGUCACACUGGGACUGAGACACGGCCCAGACUCCUACGGAAGGCAGCAGUGGGGAAUAUUGGACAAUGGGCGGAAGCCUGAUCCAGCAACGCCGCGUGAGGGAUGACGGCCUUCGGGUUGUAAACCUCUUUCAGUACCGACGAAGCGCAAGUGACGGUAGGUACAGAAGAAGCACCGGCCAACUACGUGCCAGCCGCCGCCGUAACAC
rnacentral:rRNA from 1 species